rnacentral:rRNA from 1 species
UGGGGGAUAUUGCACAAUGGGCGAAAGCCUGAUGCAGCGACGCCGCGUGGGGGAUGAAGGCCUUCGGGUUGUAAACUUCUUUUGCUCUGAACAAGGCAUGCUAAUGGGUGUGUUGAGUGUAGGGGUUGAUUAGCGCCGGCUAACUACGUGCCAGCAGCCGCGGUAAUACGUAGGGCGCGAGCGUUGUCCGGAAUUAUUGGGCGUAAAGGGCUUGUAGGUGGCUGGUUGCGUCUGUCGUGAAAGCUCAUGGCUUAACUGUGGGUUUGCGGUGGGUACUGUCUGGCUUGAGUGCAGUAGGGGAGGCUGGAAUUCCUGGUGUAGCGGUGGAAUGCGCAGAUAUCAGGAGGAAUACCGGUGGCGAAGGCGGGUCUCUGGGCUGUUACUGACACUGAGGAGCGAAAGCAUGGGGAGCGAACAGG